AACAUUCAACGCUGUCGGUGAGUUUGAAAUUCAGAGUAAACCAUCGACCGUUGACUGUACC
rnacentral:pre_miRNA from 1 species